rnacentral:rRNA from 1 species
UACAGAGGGUGCGAGCGUUAAUCGGAAUUACUGGGCGUAAAGCGCGCGUAGGCGGCUUUGCAAGUCGAGUGUGAAAUCCCCAGGCUUAACCUGGGAACUGCAUUCGAGACUGCAUAGCUAAAGUAUGGGAGAGGGAAGUGGAAUUUCAGGUGUAGCGGUGAAAUGCGUAGAUAUCUGAAGGAACAUCAGUGGCGAAAGCGACUUCCUGGACCAAUACUGACGCUCAUGUGCGAAAGCGUGGGGAGCAAACAGG